rnacentral:rRNA from 1 species
CUACGUGCCAGCAGCCGCGGUAAUACGUAGGUGGCAAGCGUUGUCCGAAAUUAUUGGGCGUAAAGCGCGCGCAGGCGGAUUGGUCAGUCUGUCUUAAAAGUUCGGGGCUUAACCCCGUGAUGGGAUGGAAACUGCCAAUCUAGAGUAUCGGAGAGGAAAGUGGAAUUCCUAGUGUAGCGGUGAAAUGCGUAGAUAUUAGGAAGAACACCAGUGGCGAAGGCGACUUUCUGGACGAAAACUGACGCUGAGGCGCGAAAGCCAGGGGAGCGAACGGGAUUAGAUACCCCGGUAGUCCUGGCCGUAAACGAUGGGUACUAGGUGUAGGAGGUAUCGACCCCUUCUGUGCCGGAGUUAACGCAAUAAGUACCCCGCCUGGGGAGUACGACCGCAAGGUUGAAACUCAAAGGAAUUGACGGGGGCCCGCACAAGCGGUGGAGUAUGUGGUUUAAUUCGACGCAACGCGAAGAACCUUACCAGGUCUUGACAU